AUGAAUCGGCUUUCGUCAUGCUUUUCUGCUCUGUUUCUCGACGCUUCCGACGAUGAAAUGGUGUUUCAGUGGGUGUGGUACAUCGAUAUGCUGGCUUCUGAAUUUUAGGUCUACCAUACUACGGGUUGUUAAUUGUAUGCUGAAGGUGAUUUUAAUUUAUUUGUUGAAUUUUAACCUCUUUUUUUAGGCUAUUUCAUUGGUAAAACGUUCUCAAUCUUAAAUAAAAAUCAAUUCUAAUAACAUAGCAGGCUAAUUGUUCCCUAUGCCUGCCAUGUAGCACCUUCUAAAAUUGCCAUGUG
rnacentral:lncRNA from 1 species